rnacentral:rRNA from 1 species
CGCGGCCUAUCAGCUUGUUGGUGGGGUAACGGCCUACCAAGGCAUCGACGGGUAGCUGGUCUGAGAGGACGAUCAGCCACACUGGGACUGAGACACGGCCCAGACUCCUACGGGAGGCAGCAGUGGGGAAUAUUGCGCAAUGGGCGAAAGCCUGACGCAGCAACGCCGCGUGGGGGAUGAAGGCUUUCGGGUUGUAAACCCCUUUCAGUGAUGACGAAAAUGACGGUAAUCACAGAAGAAGCCCCGGCCAACUACGUGCCAGCAGCCGCGGUAACACGUAGGGUGCGAGCGUUGUCCGGAUUUAUUGGGCGUAAAGAACUCGUAGGCGGUUGCGUAAGUCGGACGUGAAAACUCAGGGCUCAACCCUGAGAUGCCGUUCGAUACUGCGCUGACUAGAGUCCGGUAGGGGAGCAUGGAAUUCCUGGUGUAGCGGUGAAAUGCGCAGAUAUCAGGAGGAACACCAGUGGCGAAGGCGGUGCUCUGGGCCGGAACUGACGCUGAGGAGCGAAAGCAUGGGUAGCAAACAGGAUUAGAUACCCUGGUAGUCCAUGCCGUAAACGUUGGGCACUAGGUGUGGGACCUACUUAACGGGUUCCGUGCCGUAGCUAACGCAUUAAGUGCCCCGCCUGGGGAGUACGG